UUAAGCGACUAAGCGUACACGGUGGAUGCCCUGGCAGUCAGAGGCGAUGAAGGACGUGCUAAUCUGCGAUAAGCGUCGGUAAGGUGAUAUGAACCGUUAUAACCGGCGAUUUCCGAAUGGGGAAACCCAGUGUGUUUCGACACACUAUCAUUAACUGAAUCCAUAGGUUAAUGAGGCGAACCGGGGGAACUGAAACAUCUAAGUACCCCGAGGAAAAGAAAUCAACCGAGAUUCCCCCAGUAGCGGCGAGCGAACGGGGAGCAGCCCAGAGCCUGAAUCAGUGUGUGUGUUAGUGGAAGCGUCUGGAAAGGCGCGCGAUACAGGGUGACAGCCCCGUACACAAAAAUGCACAUGCUGUGAGCUCGAUGAGUAGGGCGGGACACGUGGUAUCCUGUCUGAAUAUGGGGGGACCAUCCUCCAAGGCUAAAUACUCCUGACUGACCGAUAGUGAACCAGUACCGUGAGGGAAAGGCGAAAAGAACCCCGGCGAGGGGAGUGAAAAAGAACCUGAAACCGUGUACGUACAAGCAGUGGGAGCACGCUUAGGCGUGUGACUGCGUACCUUUUGUAUAAUGGGUCAGCGACUUAUAUUCUGUAGCAAGGUUAACCGAAUAGGGGAGCCGAAGGGAAACCGAGUCUUAACUGGGCGUUAAGUUGCAGGGUAUAGACCCGAAACCCGGUGAUCUAGCCAUGGGCAGGUUGAAGGUUGGGUAACACUAACUGGAGGACCGAACCGACUAAUGUUGAAAAAUUAGCGGAUGACUUGUGGCUGGGGGUGAAAGGCCAAUCAAACCGGGAGAUAGCUGGUUCUCCCCGAAAGCUAUUUAGGUAGCGCCUCGUGAAUUCAUCUCCGGGGGUAGAGCACUGUUUCGGCAAGGGGGUCAUCCCGACUUACCAACCCGAUGCAAACUGCGAAUACCGGAGAAUGUUAUCACGGGAGACACACGGCGGGUGCUAACGUCCGUCGUGAAGAGGGAAACAACCCAGACCGCCAGCUAAGGUCCCAAAGUCAUGGUUAAGUGGGAAACGAUGUGGGAAGGCCCAGACAGCCAGGAUGUUGGCUUAGAAGCAGCCAUCAUUUAAAGAAAGCGUAAUAGCUCACUGGUCGAGUCGGCCUGCGCGGAAGAUGUAACGGGGCUAAACCAUGCACCGAAGCUGCGGCAGCGACGCUUAUGCGUUGUUGGGUAGGGGAGCGUUCUGUAAGCCUGUGAAGGUGUACUGUGAGGUAUGCUGGAGGUAUCAGAAGUGCGAAUGCUGACAUAAGUAACGAUAAAGCGGGUGAAAAGCCCGCUCGCCGGAAGACCAAGGGUUCCUGUCCAACGUUAAUCGGGGCAGGGUGAGUCGACCCCUAAGGCGAGGCCGAAAGGCGUAGUCGAUGGGAAACAGGUUAAUAUUCCUGUACUUGGUGUUACUGCGAAGGGGGGACGGAGAAGGCUAUGUUGGCCGGGCGACGGUUGUCCCGGUUUAAGCGUGUAGGCUGGUUUUCCAGGCAAAUCCGGAAAAUCAAGGCUGAGGCGUGAUGACGAGGCACUACGGUGCUGAAGCAACAAAUGCCCUGCUUCCAGGAAAAGCCUCUAAGCAUCAGGUAACAUCAAAUCGUACCCCAAACCGACACAGGUGGUCAGGUAGAGAAUACCAAGGCGCUUGAGAGAACUCGGGUGAAGGAACUAGGCAAAAUGGUGCCGUAACUUCGGGAGAAGGCACGCUGAUAUGUAGGUGAAGUCCCUCGCGGAUGGAGCUGAAAUCAGUCGAAGAUACCAGCUGGCUGCAACUGUUUAUUAAAAACACAGCACUGUGCAAACACGAAAGUGGACGUAUACGGUGUGACGCCUGCCCGGUGCCGGAAGGUUAAUUGAUGGGGUCAGCGCAAGCGAAGCUCUUGAUCGAAGCCCCGGUAAACGGCGGCCGUAACUAUAACGGUCCUAAGGUAGCGAAAUUCCUUGUCGGGUAAGUUCCGACCUGCACGAAUGGCGUAAUGAUGGCCAGGCUGUCUCCACCCGAGACUCAGUGAAAUUGAACUCGCUGUGAAGAUGCAGUGUACCCGCGGCAAGACGGAAAGACCCCGUGAACCUUUACUAUAGCUUGACACUGAACAUUGAGCCUUGAUGUGUAGGAUAGGUGGGAGGCUUUGAAGUGUGGACGCCAGUCUGCAUGGAGCCGACCUUGAAAUACCACCCUUUAAUGUUUGAUGUUCUAACGUUGACCCGUAAUCCGGGUUGCGGACAGUGUCUGGUGGGUAGUUUGACUGGGGCGGUCUCCUCCUAAAGAGUAACGGAGGAGCACGAAGGUUGGCUAAUCCUGGUCGGACAUCAGGAGGUUAGUGCAAUGGCAUAAGCCAGCUUGACUGCGAGCGUGACGGCGCGAGCAGGUGCGAAAGCAGGUCAUAGUGAUCCGGUGGUUCUGAAUGGAAGGGCCAUCGCUCAACGGAUAAAAGGUACUCCGGGGAUAACAGGCUGAUACCGCCCAAGAGUUCAUAUCGACGGCGGUGUUUGGCACCUCGAUGUCGGCUCAUCACAUCCUGGGGCUGAAGUAGGUCCCAAGGGUAUGGCUGUUCGCCAUUUAAAGUGGUACGCGAGCUGGGUUUAGAACGUCGUGAGACAGUUCGGUCCCUAUCUGCCGUGGGCGCUGGAGAACUGAGGGGGGCUGCUCCUAGUACGAGAGGACCGGAGUGGACGCAUCACUGGUGUUCGGGUUGUCAUGCCAAUGGCACUGCCCGGUAGCUAAAUGCGGAAGAGAUAAGUGCUGAAAGCAUCUAAGCACGAAACUUGCCCCGAGAUGAGUUCUCCCUGACUCCUUGAGAGUCCUGAAGGAACGUUGAAGACGACGACGUUGAUAGGCCGGGUGUGUAAGCGCAGCGAUGCGUUGAGCUAACCGGUACUAAUGAACCGUGAGGCUUAACCUU
rnacentral:rRNA from 1 species